rnacentral:sRNA from 1 species
AAAAAGCACAAAACACUUGACGAAAUAAUCGUCGAAAUAAGCGCAGCUAUUUUCCAACUCUCUGUUUUGAAUGAAUUUCAUUGCCGCUGCGUUGCGGCCAUAAUGCACGCAUACAUACAGCAUACGAACGUUUUGGAAAAUGCGAAACGGCAAAACUUUCACACGAACACACACAUUGACCACACACAGCCAAUAGAGAACAGUUAGGCCAUUUGGGCGCUGAGAACACUUGUCGGGGAGCCGCUGCGUGCAACGGAGCCCAAGCAGCGCAGUUCAGAUUGAGUUUCCGGCGGUGCUGGCCGACAUGACGGAACAAAUUUCGUUGUAAUUUUCAUUGGCAAAGCUACGCGUCUCUUAGCGGUGUCUUAUUGUUUUGACUUACGCGUUUCACUUUGUUGUUUUCUGUGCGUUGUUAUGUGUUUGUUGUAAUGCGGACACGGACGAGUGCGCAUGCGAGUAAAGUCAAAUAAACAAAUAGCAGGAGGCGAACGCGGCAGGCAAAGUGCGCGUCCCUUACCAAGCAGUCAACCUGCGUACAUGACUGACAGUUAGACGGAUGAGCAGCGCCAGUAAAUGACGAAAAUGGCACAAAAGAAGUGAGCCGAAGUGAAGCGAAAAAAAAAAAUUCAAAAUAAAAUAAAAUAAAAUAAAAAUCAGUGGCAACUACGAAAAAAGUGUGAAAAAGUGUUAAACGGAAAAGCAGCAAAAGUGGCAAAAAAGUGUUUGUGCAAAAAAAACGGUUAGCUGGUUGUGUUGUGUGAAGCAGCGGCUAGCAUAUGACUGUGAUGUGGCAAGCGUCAUUAUAAGCAACCAACAACAACAACCAGCAGCAGCAAUCAUAAAUGUUGCAUUUGCAUGUCAACUGCGCUGCGCCGCUUUGACAGUUAAUUUCGCGCUGUGUUGCAAAGAAGUUGCAGCAGCAGCCGCAACAACAACAAUAACAUUAUUUUAUUGUUGUUGUGGUGCAACUUUUCACAAAGGUGUGUUGACACGCCCAAACUAACCGUUUACAAAAGCGUUGAGCGUCAAAUAGCGGCCGCGCAGCUGCAACGCCUGCAAUUCAGUGUGAGCCUAGCGGUUUAUUAGUGCUUACAACAACAAAAUCAACAACAAUAAUUAGUUUUUUGCUAGCACAACAAACCAAAGUGCAUAUAAUAUAACUAUAUAGUGAUCGCAACACCACCACAAUAACAACAACUACAACAAGUAGCUGCUCAGUGCAACAACAAAUGCGCCGACGCCGCCAGCAGCGCAACCUCAACUGUCAUUAGUUGACGUUUUAAUUGCGGCUUCGAUUUGCAUUUUUACUUAGCAAUACCACAGCGUUAAACAACAACAGUAAUAACGACAACAACAACAAACGUUGUUAAAACCCAUACUUUUGUUCUCCAGCAUUGUCUGGGCGCAAACACGAAAGCGAAACGAAGUAUUAAACAAAGAAAAGUGUAAAAAUUAUAUGCUAUAUUGUUGUUGUAGUUGCCGCUAACUGCAAUUCAUCAGCCACACACACACAUAUUCGCGCAUAGCUGCAUGUAGCCGCUCAGCUGUAGCGCUAAAAAGUGCUUUAACGCCUGUUUUUGUGUUGCAAACAAUAAAAAAAUGGUGUGAUAAAAGAGUCAGCUGAGUGCUAAUAGUUAUGACAAAAACGCCAACCUCUAACGGUACUAAAUUUGAAUAAAUAACAGUUAUUCAAAACAAAAUCGAAUACUCGCUUAAUAUAACGGUACUAAACAAGGAUACUCAACUUUUUACUCGAAAAAAACGGUAAAUAAAACGGUACUGAAGAAGGUUACUCGAGUAAAUGCUAGAAUACAAGGCUAUUCAACUUCUUACUCGAAAAAAACGGUAAAUAAAGCGGUACUGAAGAAGGUUACUCGAAUAAAUGCCAGAUAACGUUGGUACUCGCUAAUAACGGUACUAAAGAAGGUUACUCAAUUAGUUAAUAGACAAAACGGUAAAUAUAACGUUAAUACUUGCUAAUAUAACGUUACUAACGACGGUUAUCCGAGUAGAUGCUAGACAAAACGAGUGCUCGCAAAAUAUAACGGUAAUAAACGAGUAGGCGCUAGUUAAAACGAGUGAAAGUAAAUAAAUAUUUCAAAGUAAAUUUAAAAUACGCGCGUAACGGAACCAAAAAAUACGGCACUCAUUAAUCACAACCCAAUAAUAUUAUUAAAAAAUAUGCUAUUUAAUUAUUAAGCAAAUUAAAAAUUAAUUUACCGUUUCUACAACAACUUUUAGUCAACAUUACCAAAAAUCCACAAAAAAUAGCAAAAACAACCAAAAUGAAUUGCGUUGCAAUACCACCACCGGAAGAGAAGCAGCAACCGACACUGCAAAUAAUGCACAGCGAACUGGUGUUGCCAUCACCGCACGCCCAACCGGAUGUCAACAACUGCAGCAACAGCAGCGGCAACACAUCAAAAACGCAAUCACUGCAGCGCACCACACACCUGUAUUGUCGCUCGUUGGAGAAGGAACGCGGCGAUCGGCGUACUUCGUCGCGCGGCUUAGCUUCGUGUCUGCGCGGUGAACGCGAUGAAUUCGUCGGUGAUUACCGUGAGUUGCGUCCGCGUGCGCAACAAAUCGAUUUGCUGCCGACAGUUAUGAUUAGUCACGGUGGUGCGGGAUAUGGCGGUGCGGAUAAUGUUGCUGGCGCUGCAACGUCUGGUGUUGGCAAUAACGGACGCUAUGGAGUCGCAUAAUACCGAUGCGAGUGGCAGGUGUGAGUACAAAUCGAAAACCCUGCCACGCAUCCAUUUCGAUACUUCCAUUAAUGAUACGUCAUUAAAUGAAGGUAAAUAAUUAGUGUAA